GAUGAAGAACGCAGCGAAAUGCGAUAAGUAAUGUGAAUUGCAGAAUUCAGUGAAUCAUCGAAUCUUUGAACGCACAUUGCGCCCGGUAGUAUUCUGCCGGGCAUGCCUGUUCGAGCGUCAUUUCAACCAUCAAGCCCCAGCGCUUGUGUUGGGGGCCUGCGGCUGCCGCAGCCCCCUAAAAGCGGUGGCGGGCUCGCUAUCACACCGAGUGCAGUAGUUCAUCUUCUCUCCGGUCUUGUGAGGCGGGUUCCGGCCGUGAAACACCCCACUACAUUCAAGGUUGACCUCGGAUCAGGUAGGAAUACCCGCUGAACUUAAGCAUACAAUAAGCGGAGGA
rnacentral:misc_RNA from 1 species